rnacentral:rRNA from 1 species
AUGAAUGACCGGCGGGUACUUCUACGGCGCAAUGUCGAGACUAAACAUGUGGUGGUGCUGUUUUCUUCAAUCAUGGAGUUCAAUCUGUCCCAGAUUUGGGUCCUCGCCGGCUCAUUUGAAAAUGAUCUCAACACCAUCGAAGCCAGGUGGCAGAUGAACUGGCAAUGGAUGUACGGUGACAGACACACCUCCGAGUACAUUAAGGGCUUGCAUGAUUUCCUCGAAGUGGCUGAGGCAAACAAGCAGAAUGGUUUUAUGUGUUGUCCAUGCCCUAUAUGUGGGAAUACGAAGUCUUACUCUGACCGGAAAAUCCUUCACACCCACCUGCUUUACAAGGGUUUCAUGCCACACUAUAAUGUUUGGACGAGGCACGGAGAAAUAGGGGUUAUGAUGGAAGACAGCGAAGAAGAAGAGGACGAUGACAACUAUGUGCCCCCUGAAUACGGUGAUGCUGCAACGGGGGAAGCUGCUGAAGAUCAAGAGGAACCAGACGAUGUGCCCAAUGAUGCUGCAAAGGGGGAAGCUGCUGAAGAUCAAGAGGAACCAGUGCCCGAUGAUGAUGAUCUUCGCCGGGUCAUAGUCGAUGCAAGGACGCGAUGCGAAAGUCAAAAGGAGAAGCUGAAGUUCGAUCGCAUGUUAGAGGAUCACAAAAAAGGGUUGUACCCCAAUUGCGAAGAUGGCAACACAAAGCUCGGUACCGUACUGGAAUUGCUGUAG